UCAAAUCCACCCCAGACGCAGGUGAGUUUCCAGCGCGUGAAGCAAAUAGUUAAGCAAUUUGGAAGAUAACCGCUUUUGUUUUGUUGUAGCAAAAACCAUACACGUCUCAGUUAAACUAAUAUUCAAAGUUUACGACGGAGAAAUUGAAGAUGCCACCGUCGCAACAAAGCACUUCGUCUCAGGUUUCGUAGUUGUCUUUGGGGGACCCUGAUGCAAGUCGUCUACUGACCAAGCCUACCUGCUGAAUGACAGGAGCAGGAAGCGCUGUGCCCUGGAGGCGGGGCCGCCUCCUGGCUGAUGCGGGACGCCCGGCCCUCGUCCCCCGCGGCUGCUGCUACCGCCUGUCCACCCGCGUGAGCCUCGUCCCGGAGACGGGUCCGUCCUGCCGAAGAGGGCCACUCCAAAGCCGGCGAAAACAAAGACGUACCAUAACUCCCCACCCCGGAAGGUUCCAGAAUUCAUAACUUGCCCGCGAUAUCCAUCUUUCCCUGCUUCAAUGUCACCGCGGCCUCACUGCCGUUCAGCAUGGCUGCGAUUAGCGAGGAGAGUGAGAUACGGCUGCCUGGGCUUAUAACGGCUGACUCUGAAGGUUCUUACUAGACUUCUCUGUGAUGGCAGCAAUGGGCCCAUCGCACUCGGCUAAUGACCUGAACAAGAUCCCUUUUGCUGGGAUAUAAUGAGCAGAUGUAUGGGACUGUAUUUAUUUCUG